AUUGAACGCUGGCGGCAUGCCUUACACAUGCAAGUCGAACGGCAACAGGCCGCAAGGUGCUGACGAGUGGCGAACGGGUGAGCAAUACAUCGGAACGUGCCCGAUCGUGGGGGAUAACGGAGCGAAAGCUUUGCUAAUACCGCAUACGAUCUACGGAUGAAAGCAGGGGACCGCAAGGCCUUGCGCGGACGGAGCGGCCGAUGGCAGAUUAGGUAGUUGGUGGGAUAAAAGCUUACCAAGCCGACGAUCUGUAGCUGGUCUGAGAGGACGACCAGCCACACUGGAACUGAGACACGGUCCAGACUCCUACGGGAGGCAGCAGUGGGGAAUUUUGGACAAUGGACGCAAGUCUGAUCCAGCCAUUCCGCGUGCAGGAUGAAGGCCCUCGGGUUGUAAACUGCUUUUGUACGGAAGAUAAUGACGGUACUAUAUGAAUAAGCACCGGCUAACUCCGUG
rnacentral:rRNA from 1 species